ensembl:lncRNA
GGGGGAGGAGGGGGAGGAGGGGGAGGUGCUCCGCCCUGGGGAGCAGAGCCCCGGGUGGGGCAGGGGCAGCCCGGGGCCCAGCUACGGCAAAGCCAGGCCGGACACGCAGGCCUCGCGGCCGGGGUCUCCAAGGGGGAGCGGCUGGAGCUGAGCGUGGGGUCCCCCCCCGGGAACCCGGCGCCCGUGACCCCGACCAGCCCGGCCAACGCCCUGGCGGAAGGGGUCCUCACUCAGCUGACGGCCCAGCGCCCCUCUGGCCCCUCCUCCUCCCAGUCCGGCUCCGACAGCGCCCCCAGUGCCUGCUGCUGGAGCAGCCCCCGCCCGGCCCCGCCCACCCAGCCGGCCGGCCACGCCCCGACGGCCCCCUCCCCACCUCCAUCCGGCGGAGGGCCUGCUGCACGGAGAGCCCGGCCCGUCCGCGGCCAGAGCCCCGCCCCAGCCGGGACUCCUCCCCC